rnacentral:tRNA from 1 species
GGUCUUAUAUUCAAUAUAUGAUAAUAGAAUGCAAUUCUAUAGGUGUAAUAAAUUUACUAAGACUU